UGAAUAAAUUCAGAAACACUUGAUGAUUCAAUCACUCUAAGCGGGGAAGCUUCUGUAUCCAGGGAAACCAGUCUGGGUUGCCAGGACCUAAAGUUAAGACAGGAGAAACCCUGCUGCCGGGGAUGUAAGGAAGCAAUCUGCUAGCCUUCUCUUUUAGUCAAGGAUUAUCUGUGCCUGUGAUGCUUCCUGACCAAUCUGGACACCCACCUAUGCCUGAGUCAUGUUUGCUAUCUGCAAUCUUACUGUCCAUAGUCACAGCCCACCUCACCCAUCGAGAUGAUAGUCAUGAUCAAAAGCAAACAUUUUCAAAUCUGUACCGGUGUCCAUGGCUCCACUUGCCAGCAAGAAAACAACAGAGGGAACAGCAGUUAUCUUCUGAAUCACAGACAAUUCUGAAAACAAACAAACAAAAAAUACACAGAAAAUCAAUUAUCACAGCAAAAGAAUGAGAAAAACUAGAAUUAAUGGUGGUCAAAGUUCCUUCCUCAAUUUUCUAUGAAGAAUUCUAUGAUUCACAUCAACAUGG
rnacentral:lncRNA from 1 species